GCCUCCUGACUGCGUGCGAGAACAUUUUGAAUUAUCUGGCACGAGGCAUCACACGUCAAACUUCAACUGACACAACGGUCUCGGUGAAGGGAAUAAGCAAAAGCUCCUUUAAAUUUCGUCAUUUUUUAUACACAUCCCGUUUAUUUUGUAGUUAAUUGUUAGAUAAGUAAGUAAUUUCGUCAAGUUUUCGUUACAGAGUAAGAUUUCGUUAUCAUCGUUACCAUAUACAGUAUUUAUAUUGGUUCAAGAGCGCAGUUUGAUAACUCAUUCAAGGGGGUUCUGUUCCUGCAGUCUUCCAGCAAUACUGGCGCGUAUGACGAUGCGGACACGAACUGCACAGUACAGUAUACCGCCGCCUACUGUACUGUAGUAAAAUAACGUCCUUUAAACAUCUAAACAUGUCCUCCAAAAAGGUAAGUUCAGCAGAUCAGCUUAUCUUAUUCUGUAAUAUUGAUACUGGUUUGAGAAAAACUAAGAUUAAACAACGUACAUGUUUCCAGGAAAAAGGGAAAAACACUGGAAAACAAUUUCAGCCUAAGGUUUGAGAUGGCUAACUGUGUACAUUGCCUUUGUGUACUGCAAGCUGAACUUACAGAUUUAUAUGGACUUUACUUACAGGUUUCCUGUGCUGUUUUGCUCCAUUUUACAGAACAAAAUAAGGCUGAGGUAGCACCAUCCUUGUGGUUAGAGUGAAAGAAUGUGGGUAUUGAGACCAAAAUAAAUAAUGUGCCAUUCUGGACAAACAGCUGUGGACAAUACAAGCAGUCAGAGUAGCCCAUUUUCUCACACAGAUGAGGAGCAACCAGUAAGAAAAAGCAAAAAGAUGUUUUGAUGUUGCCUGAGGCACCUUAUUCACAUCAGUCAAUUUCUUCCAAUAAUGAAUCAAGAAAUCCUGGAGUGGAGAAUCAUUCUGAAAGUAGACCAAAUACAGGACAACACCACAGCAGUGGUUGGAAAAAUGCCGCAGACAAUGAGCAAACCAAGCUGACUUUCAAAAGAUGAUUCGUUAUCUGUUUCUUCAAAGGGGAGGCAGUUUGGGAGAUGGGAAAUAGGAGGAUGCUUCAGCUACACAGGGCGAAUUUCAGCAGCUCAGUUUCACACUUGCAACUAACAAUGAAUUAUAGUUAGAAGACAACGGAAAUAUUUGACAUGGGAGUCCAGCAGACAGCCAGAGACACGCACACACACGGAGCUGAAGCGCGUUUGACUGACGCGUACGGGAGAUCAGGCACGCGCACGGGAGCUUGCUCGCGCACGCACACAC